UGACAGCCCCGUACACAAAAAUGCACAUACUGUGAGCUCGAUGAGUAGGGCGGGACACGUGGUAUCCUGUCUGAAUAUGGGGGGACCAUCCUCCAAGGCUAAAUACUCCUGACUGACCGAUAGUGAACCAGUACCGUGAGGGAAAGGCGAAAAGAACCCCGGCGAGGGGAGUGAAAAAGAACCUGAAACCGUGUACGUACAAGCAGUGGGAGCACGCUUAGGCGUGUGACUGCGUACCUUUUGUAUAAUGGGUCAGCGACUUAUAUUCUGUAGCAAGGUUAACCGAAUAGGGGAGCCGAAGGGAAACCGAGUCUUAACUGGGCGUUAAGUUGCAGGGUAUAGACCCGAAACCCGGUGAUCUAGCCAUGGGCAGGUUGAAGGUUGGGUAACACUAACUGGAGGACCGAACCGACUAAUGUUGAAAAAUUAGCGGAUGACUUGUGGCUGGGGGUGAAAGGCCAAUCAAACCGGGAGAUAGCUGGUUCUCCCCGAAAGCUAUUUAGGUAGCGCCUCGUGAAUUCAUCUCCGGGGGUAGAGCACUGUUUCGGCAAGGGGGUCAUCCCGACUUACCAACCCGAUGCAAACUGCGAAUACCGGAGAAUGUUAUCACGGGAGACACACGGCGGGUGCUAACGUCCGUCGUGAAGAGGGAAACAACCCAGACCGCCAGCUAAGGUCCCAAAGUCAUGGUUAAGUGGGAAACGAUGUGGGAAGGCCCAGACAGCCAGGAUGUUGGCUUAGAAGCAGCCAUCAUUUAAAGAAAGCGUAAUAGCUCACUGGUCGAGUCGGCCUGCGCGGAAGAUGUAACGGGGCUAAACCAUGCACCGAAGCUGCGGCAGCGACGCUUAUGCGUUGUUGGGUAGGGGAGCGUUCUGUAAGCCUGUGAAGGUGUGCUGUGAGGUAUGCUGGAGGUAUCAGAAGUGCGAAUGCUGACAUAAGUAACGAUAAAGCGGGUGAAAAGCCCGCUCGCCGGAAGACCAAGGGUUCCUGUCCAACGUUAAUCGGGGCAGGGUGAGUCGACCCCUAAGGCGAGGCCGAAAGGCGUAGUCGAUGGGAAACAGGUUAAUAUUCCUGUACUUGGUGUUACUGCGAAGGGGGGACGGAGAAGGCUAUGUUGGCCGGGCGACGGUUGUCCCGGUUUAAGCGUGUAGGCUGGUUUUCCAGGCAAAUCCGGAAAAUCAAGGCCGAGGCGUGAUGACGAGGCACUACGGUGCUGAAGCAACAAAUGCCCUGCUUCCAGGAAAAGCCUCUAAGCAUCAGGUAACAUCAAAUCGUACCCCAAACCGACACAGGUGGUCAGGUAGAGAAUACCAAGGCGCUUGAGAGAACUCGGGUGAAGGAACUAGGCAAAAUGGUGCCGUAACUUCGGGAGAAGGCACGCUGAUACGUAGGUGAAGCGACUUGCUCGUGGAGCUGAAAUCAGUCGAAGAUACCAGCUGGCUGCAACUGUUUAUUAAAAACACAGCACUGUGCAAACACGAAAGUGGACGUAUACGGUGUGACGCCUGCCCGGUGCCGGAAGGUUAAUUGAUGGGGUUAGCGCAAGCGAAGCUCUUGAUCGAAGCCCCGGUAAACGGCGGCCGUAACUAUAACGGUCCUAAGGUAGCGAAAUUCCUUGUCGGGUAAGUUCCGACCUGCACGAAUGGCGUAAUGAUGGCCAGGCUGUCUCCACCCGAGACUCAGUGAAAUUGAACUCGCUGUGAAGAUGCAGUGUACCCGCGGCAAGACGGAAAGACCCCGUGAACCUUUACUAUAGCUUGACACUGAACAUUGAGCCUUGAUGUGUAGGAUAGGUGGGAGGCUUUGAAGUGUGGACGCCAGUCUGCAUGGAGCCGACCUUGAAAUACCACCCUUUAAUGUUUGAUGUUCUAACGUGGACCCGUGAUCCGGGUUGCGGACAGUGUCUGGUGGGUAGUUUGACUGGGGCGGUCUCCUCCUAAAGAGUAACGGAGGAGCACGAAGGUUGGCUAAUCCUGGUCGGACAUCAGGAGGUUAGUGCAAUGGCAUAAGCCAGCUUGACUGCGAGCGUGACGGCGCGAGCAGGUGCGAAAGCAGGUCAUAGUGAUCCGGUGGUUCUGAAUGGAAGGGCCAUCGCUCAACGGAUAAAAGGUACUCCGGGGAUAACAGGCUGAUACCGCCCAAGAGUUCAUAUCGACGGCGGUGUUUGGCACCUCGAUGUCGGCUCAUCACAUCCUGGGGCUGAAGUAGGUCCCAAGGGUAUGGCUGUUCGCCAUUUAAAGUGGUACGCGAGCUGGGUUUAGAACGUCGUGAGACAGUUCGGUCCCUAUCUGCCGUGGGCGCUGGAGAACUGAGGGGGGCUGCUCCUAGUACGAGAGGACCGGAGUGGACGCAUCACUGGUGUUCGGGUUGUCAUGCCAAUGGCACUGCCCGGUAGCUAAAUGCGGAAGAGAUAAGUGCUGAAAGCAUCUAAGCACGAAACUUGCCCCGAGAUGAGUUCUCCCUGACCCUUUAAGGGUCCUGAAGGAACGUUGAAGACGACGACGUUGAUAGGCCGGGUGUGUAAGCGCAGCGAUGCGUUGAGCUAACCGGUACUAAUGAACCGUGAGGCUUAACCUUACAACGCCGAAG
rnacentral:rRNA from 1 species